GUCUACGGCCACACCACCCUGAACGCGCCCGAUCUCGUCUGAUCUCGGAAGCUAAGCAGGGUCGGGCCUGGUUAGUAUUUGGAUGGGAGAAUAAAGUAUCGAAAUUU
rnacentral:rRNA from 1 species